UGUUGCCCAGAACUGGACACAAUACUCCUAUUGGGGCCUGAUAGCACUGAGUAGAAUGGAAGAAUUACUUGUUGUAUCUGGCUUACAACACUCAUGCUAAUACAGCCCAGAAUGAUGUUUUUUUUUUUUUUGCACCAGCU